CCCCUCUGUCCAUCCUCCCUCCCCGAGCCUCGACACGGGAUUCGACACGUCACCUCACCCUCGCAGGAGCUCCGCCCACACCUGAACAGCCAGUCAACCAGGAGCCCAUAUUUGGAGCAGAGGGGGAGUGGCCAGGGGGCAGAGGGGCGGGACCCUCAGAAGCAGGAUUGGUACACGAAGUACUUCUCCUUCUGAACACACACACACACACACACACACACACACACACACACACACACACACACACACACACACACACACACACACACACACACACACACACACUCAGCUUUAAACAAACACCUGACAGACCACACACACACCCCCCCCCACACUCAGGUGACCUCUACUCACCUGUACAACACACACAGGUGACCUCUACUCACCUGUACAACACACUCAGCUUUAAACAAACACCUGACAGACCAAAAGCUUGUUCAAUGCAAAUGUAUUGUAUUAUAAUCUAUAAUGUGGAAUAAAGUAUUUUAUUUAUAUCUA